ensembl:lncRNA
GUCUCCUGAUGGAAAAUUCAAACAUUACAGGUUUCUAGAUAAAAAUCAAACCCCUUUUCAUUUAUAUAGCCACUUGUGGCAUCUUAGUCAAAGAAAAGAAAAAAAAAAAAAAAAAAAAAAAAGAAAAAGAAAGGAAAGAUACCUUGAAAGCUGCAAGGCACAUGGCAUUCACACUGAUCACUAGCAGUUUUUCUCAACUGUAUCCAGUGGUCACUGGUUUAUUGACAUGUGUGAGAUGGACAGAAGCAGUUUCAGUCAUGUUUCUGAUUUGUGUGGAUUAUGUGCAUUAAGGCAGUGGCUCUCCUGCAGGGUGAUUUUCCACGGAGGGAAAUUGGGCAAUGCUAGGGGACAGUUUUGAUUGACAUGUCUUGCGAGGUGCUUCUAGCAUCCAGUGUGUAAAAACCAAGGAUGUUGCUAAGCAUCCCACAAUGCACAGGAUAGCCCUUGCAACAAGGAAUUCUCCAACCCAGAUGUCAAUAGUGCUGAGGUUGAGAAACCUUGAGUUAAGAGUUGGCUCAAAUUUUCCAAGGCAUUCUUCAUGUAAAGAAGGACUUCUGAGUCAAGAGAUAGAAAGAAAUGAACAGUGAUACUUGGCACCACCUGAAAUCUGUAUAGGGUUUAUUUGUUAUCCAUUUCUACAGAUGUUAAUGAUGAGACUUAGAGAGAAAGGUGUCAUUUUUCCAGGGUUCCCGUUGUGACGAGGCAGGCCUAUAGUUUAGGACUCUGUCUUCCACGUAAGUCUUUUUCUGCCUCAGAAAAUUGAUACUUCAGUGACGUCACCAACCUUAUACCAGCUAAAUGUGUUUGUUGUGAGGCACUUUGGGAGCAGUUUCAGUUCGUGUGAUCCCAAUAAGGACGUUCUCCAGCUGAUCAGUCACAGACAACAAGGUGCUCUCAGAAACGAAGCGGGAAAGGAGAGCAAGAGUGCUUACAAUGGGCCAACCAUAUCAUCAUCUUUAGUUACUCUUUGUGCACUUUGUUCCUUUGGGCUGCAUAUUCCCCACUAAAGGUGAUACUUAGAUAUUGAAAACUAUGGUCUUCAGACUCACACAGAUGGCCCCCACACGCUUGCUUUCAGAGAUGGGACAAGUCUAGGCACAGGCCUUGUCUCCGGAGCCUUGGUAUUUCAUUUGUAGGUGCUGAAAUGUCUUAUUAGAAGACAGGACAUGUUUUCAUUUUAAAUAAUUUGGCAUUUUUCUUUUAAUCUAUCAUACCAACAUCCCGAUGCUAUAAUAUAAGUCUGCUCCUUCUACUUACAUUUUGUACAAGAGCAACUGAGGAUCAGAGGGUUUAAGUCAGACAUUCUUAUGCAUUUGCUCAUGCAUUCAUUCAGCAGGUAUUUGUUCAGUGCAUACCAUGCAUAGGUUUUAAUCCACUAUGGAAUCGAACUUGGGAUGUAGAACUUGAAUUCAUAUCACCCAAACCCUAGGUUAACAUUAUUUAUUUUUUUCCCUUUAAUUUAUUAUUUUUGUAAUGAGUUUUAUUUUUUCCAUGAUAGCUGGUUUACAGUGUUCUGUCAAUUUUCUUCUGUACAGCAGGGUGAGCCAGUUACACAUGCAUGUAUACAUUCUUUGUUUCUCACAUUAUCGUGCUCCAUCAUAAGUGACUAGUUAUAGUUCCCAGUGCUAUACAGCAGGAUCUCAUUGCUUAUCCAUUUCAAAGGCAGUCUGUGUGUAGCUCUGAUCAAUACUCUAGAUUUAUGGUUUAAAUAUUAAACUAUGAAUAAUGUAUAAUGAGAAUUUGUUGCUAUGUGCCAGAAAGUCUACUAAGUGCUUUAUAUGCCUUAUCUGAUUUAGUCCCAUCAUAACCCAGUGAGGUCAGACCCCGUUCCUAUCCUCUUUUUUAUGGAUGAGGUCAGCGAGGCUUAGAGAGGCAAGGUAGCACAUAGCUUGGCAAUGGCAGAGACAGAUUUUCAUCUGGGUCUAUCAGACUCCAAAGACUGACAACUUCACCUCAUGAUAUAAGCUCUUCUCUCUGUUUUCUGGAUCUCAGCUCUAUCGUCUCCUCUACUCUUAGCAAAAUGUGGCCAGGAUGCUUCCAGCCUGACAUCCUUCUGGAAAGUCGUUAGCUCUUUUGAGUGGCAAGUUCCAUUAGACAUGCAGAUAGAGGAAAGCGGAUUUGGGGGUGGGGUACCACAGACUGUACCUUAUAGUAAAAGCCCCAUCUAACGAAGUUGUAGAGACCGUACCCUGUGAAACCAAAGUGUUAAGAUCGCUUCCGUGUCAGAGGAUGUAGCUGCUGGCUGUGCUGUUUACAGGUGACCAGGGCAAACUUCAUGAGAAAUAAAAUAAUGUGUGAAUCGUGUGUGUGUGUGUUGUGUAUAUUCACGUGCUGUAUAUAUGUGUUUAUGUAUAAAUAAUGUGUAUAUAUGUAUAUAUGUGUGUACAUCUAUCUAAAUCUAUAUAUCUAUAUCUAUACAUUUGUAUGCACACAUAAACAAAUCUUAGUUUGAAACUGGGAUUUUGAGUUCGAGGGACUUCUUAUAAUUUAUUUUUGAUUUCCUAGAUAGUGUUCUAUAGUUCUAAUUUCCGAAAUUCUCUUCUCUCUGAGUAUGUGUAUAUAUCUAUGGUACAGAGAAUAUGAUUAGAAUACCUAGGUUUAACGUACAUGGAUGCAAAACCAAACAAAAGUGCAUUUAAGGAAAAGCCAAACUUGGAUAAACCUGGCUUUCUUAUUUGAACCAUUUGUUGGAGUUUCAAACUAUGUGUUUUCAAACUUGUUCAUUAAUGAACCACACACAACCCACCAAAUUAAUGUGAUGAUGUUCAGGAUGAAAAGAAUAAGAAAGUAUAGCUCUUUAAUAGCACAAAUCCAGUGGUUUUCAAGCCAGUGGUAUUUCACCUACCUAUUGGUUAAUUUACUAUCUUCUUAUUGAUUUCACUUCAUCAUUCAUGGUGGUCCCUGUGGCCUUACAUAUUUGUAGGUGGAGCUAAUUAUCUGUUUAAAUACUUUAAUGCUAUGGUAAAUAAUUUAUAUUAUGCAUAUUGUAAAUAUAUACUAAAGCUCAAGGGCACAUUGUAAUAAUAACCAAACAUUUUCUAGACUUCUGCAAGUACCACUAUAAGCCUGUUUAUACAGAUAACCAAAAUAGUUGCUCCAAGAAUGAACACCAUAAAUUUAAAUGAAAGCGAAGGUUACGUAUCUUUUUUGGCAUCCUAUACACAUAUGACCAAAUGACUGAAACAUGGGCACUCUUAAGGAUAUAGACAAUUAUGUUUUCAUCCAUAGCCAUGUGCUUUGCAUAUGUUGGAGAAUAUGAAAACUGUUUUAUGUCCACCUAUGCAAACAGAGCUUCCCUGGUGCUCCUUGGGAUCCAGUUGUACGCACGCAAGCCCAUACCUUCAGAAAAAGCUUGGCUCCCAGCCCAGGGCUCAGCUGAUCCUCCAAGCACAGACUCCUCCUUCCAAGGACCUGUGAGGUUUGCUCAGAGAGUCAGACACAUUUGCAAACCUACUGAGGACGGUCAUUCAUUCUUUUCCCCCCAAAGGCUCCCUGCAGAUGUGUAAGAGAGAAAAUCAAUCCUAUGGCCAUUCAAUGCUCUAAAUGUAAAGCUGCUUGAAGAAGGAGUGGUUGUUUUUCCCCAAAAUUUUAGAGCAGAGGAGCAGGUUUAACAUCGGCCUUGGCUGCAAGUUUUCCUAUCAUUUCCUUUCAUUUAUGUAUUUUUAUUUCAAAGGAGACUAUUCAAUCAAGUACAUUUUGCUUAAAAUAUUCUGCUUAGUUUAGAAAAGGACAGAAUAAUAUUUUUUCUUGUCCAUUAUGAGGGGUGGAGAAGUGGGGGUGCCAAAACUCCUCAGUACCCUGUUUCUGGUAUAAGGAGAUAGAUUCAUGAAUUACUGGAGUUGUGUCAUACUUAAAACACACAGAGACAGAAACUUAGGGGAGCUGCAUUGCAGAGUCCUGUGCAAAGCUGUUAAUGGGAUCUUCCAUUAGGGGGUCACCACUUAGAUGAGAGAGGGCAACUAGCUUGUUUCUCUGAUAGUAUCCUAAUCUGUAAAAUCAAAUCUGUGUUGACUGGAGGAAUUGAACUAAUGAUCUUGGUUGAAUCUCUAUUCCCCACAUCUUUCAGAAGCAGCAAAGCACUGGAUAGAACCUAACAAACAAAACGAUUGAUCCAAAUAAAAUCGACGUGCUGAAACAGUAUCAGCACUACUCUCAAAGCUCGUAAAGACCCAGUCGAUUAGGACACCUGGGGACUCCUAGUGCAGCUUGCCAGGGAUUAUCAAGCUCCUCUUACAUCCAGAUUGGAUGCUUUGAAUGUGGUGUCACCAUAGAGAGAGGAGUCUGAAUUUUGCAGGUACCAACCCUGAGUGGUGAUCUACUGGGGCCUUGCUCAUGUUCCUUUUUCCUGACCUCAUUCAAGUGCUUAAUGACUUGGGUCAGUUUGUUGCACAAUGAUGUAUACCAAGUGACACCCACUGAAAUUACCUCUUCUCCUUUCCCUUGUAUAUAAGUGUAAUGUCAAAUUGUUUACAGGUUCUUUUUGUGUGUAAUUGUGAUAGCAGAUUUAGCUCCAACUUUACAGGAAUCUGUUUACUGGAUGGUGUUAAAACGAAUGUGCUUAUUACAGUAUAAACAUCAUUAAUUAUGGACUCACAUGAAUGCAUGUCUACAUGUCGUCAAUUCCCAGCAGCUCGGUUAUCCAGCAAGAAGUCUGCAGUCUGUGAAUAGCAAAUAUGCAUAAACUACUAUACUCUAAUAACUCAGUAACUGUUUUUACCUUGAUAUGUAACACUGUAGAUUUUAGCCUGCUGUAUUUCUUUCUUACUUAAUUUGUUUUUUUGCGAGAGAAACAUGAUAAAAGAUAGUACUACUAAUUGUCCCAAUGGAAUUGCACACCGUGUUGGCAAUCAUUGGUCCACCCUAAAGGCACCUGCCUGUAGGUGGGACAAUGGCCCUGAGCAACAUAUAAAUAUAUACAUACAUAUCUAUGUAUGCGAUAUCUAUGAUGCUAAUUACUAUCAUCUAUUCUCACUGCCAAUGGAAACAAACUAUUUUCUUUGGAAUCAUUGAUGGAUAUAAAAAGUUAAUUUGCUAUUAACUGCUUUCAUAUUCUGUUUAGUUCUUAGAGUGUGGUAAAUGAUACAGGUGCAGUAUCAGUAUUGUAAAAUUGUGUGGUGAAAACUACAAAAGUCAUUCUGUGGAUAUAUUUUAAAAAGGCAGAUCAGAAACUAUAUUUCAGAUUCUUGUGUGAAUAUAAUUACAGAAAUAGGUAACUAUUUUUUAUGUGUUCCAUAAAUGACUCCAUUUCAUAUACAUUGUAAUUUAGCACCAAUCAUAAUAAAUCAUUUGGUAACA